AUUGAACGCUAGCGGGAUGCCUUACACAUGCAAGUCGAACGGCGUGGCGAACGGGUGAGUAAUGUAUCGGAACGUGCCCAGUAGCGGGGGAUAACUACGCGAAAGCGUAGCUAAUACCGCAUACUAUUGGAGCGGCCGAUAUCGGAUUAGCUAGUUGGUGGGGUAACGGCUCACCAAGGCGACGAUCCGUAGCUGGUUUGAGAGGACGACCAGCCACACGUGGACUGAGCCACGCCCCUGACUCCUACGGGAGACAGCAGUGGGAAAUUUUGGACAAGUGAGGAAACCCUGAUCCAGCCAUCCCGCUUGUGCGAUGAAGGCCUUGGGUUUUUAAAGCACUUUUGGUAGGAAAGCGGUACCUGCAGAAUAAGCACCGGCUAACUACGUGCCAGCAGCCGCGGUAAUAC
rnacentral:rRNA from 1 species